rnacentral:tRNA from 1 species
UGGUUAGAGCACCGCACUCAUAAUGCGGGGGUCACAAGUUCAAGUCUCGUCAUAGCCACCA